rnacentral:lncRNA from 1 species
GUAGUUCAGUCGAUGUCUACGUGUUCAUGAAACGUUCUUGGCGAAAGAGUGUGACAAGGCUAGUAUGUUACACGGUGAAACAACUCAAGCUUGGCCCACGCUUCUCGGAUGUUUACCGUAGUGUUGGUAAUAGUUGGUUUGCAAACAUUCCAGAAAGAGCCAAGAGCCAGAGAUGGUCGCCAUGUUGGUGUAAUAAAUAGAGGAGGCUAAAGAGGACGUAUUUGUUUAUAAAUACCAUCAACAUGGCGGCGAUGACGUAAAGCGCAAACAAAAAAUACUUAACAACUCUCUAUGGCUCUUUCCAAACGCUGGCAGACGUCGAUAAAUUCAAGCAAAAACUGUUUAAAAAUUAUUCAGCUGCACCAAUCUGUCAUCACAGGAUGUAAGUCUAGUCUAGUCUAGUCAUCAAGGUCAUAAUACGAGUCUUUUUUGCCCAUUUAUUGUGACCACACUUGAUCCUCUCGAAAUAUGCCAUUAAUAUGGACCUCCGCUAACAACUUGAAAGCAAACAUAACGAAGGACACCCGUAAACUAUACUUCCUAACAAUUGUAGAAUACUGGACUGCCUCGCAAGACGUGUGCCCAACAAUAUCUGUUUUAACAAGUUGAAUAAUUCACUCACAGAGUUAAACUUCAAGUUCCCCUAAUGCCUGAGACAAUACUUUCAGUAUUGAUUCUACAUGAAUAGUUGAAUGAUAAAACUGAUUUGAGUGAUGCGUCUUGAAGAUAUCGAGGUUUAUACUCUUGGCUGUGACGUUAUCUGAGUAUUCAUUAAAAAUAUAAGUACUAACUUGUUCAAGCCAAAAUUUAUUUAAUAAAUAUUAAAAUCAUACUCAUGGUUUACACAAUUGAGUGUACAUUUGGUGUUUCAUAAUGGCCUGUGUUUAGUAUUACACUUUAAAACAAAUCCACCCAAAUACCCAGAAUGACAUCACAGCCAAAACUGUAAACCUUAAUAACUUAAAGACGCAACACUCAAAUGCAGAAACGUUUCACCAUUCAACUAUUCGCUUCACGUAGAAUGUAGGCACUUUAAAAGUUAAAUGCCUUAGUUGGCUUAAUGGGAGACAUGAAGAAAUUCCACUAACUUAUCAGGGACACUGCGAUACGAAAUGAAACAGUGUCAUAGAGACAGCAAAGAAAGUGCUUGAAAUUAGUCAACACUAACUGGAUAAUAAAAACUUUUAUUAAAAACUGAUAAUUAAUUUUGUGUUUUUCUUUCUUUUUUUUUUUUU